UGGGGAAUAUUGCACAAUGGGCGAAAGCCUGAUGCAGCAACGCCGCGUGAGUGAUGAAGGUCUUCGGAUUGUAAAGCUCUGUCUUUUGGGACGAUAAUGACGGUACCAAAGGAGGAAGCCACGGCUAACUACGUGCCAGCAGCCGCGGUAAUACGUAGGUGGCGAGCGUUGUCCGGAUUUACUGGGCGUAAAGGGUGCGUAGGCGGAUGUUUAAGUGAGAUGUGAAAUACCCGGGCUUAACUUGGGUGCUGCAUUUCAAACUGGAUAUCUAGAGUGCAGGAGAGGAGAAUGGAAUUCCUAGUGUAGCGGUGAAAUGCGUAGAGAUUAGGAGAACACCAGUGGCGAAGGCGAUUCUCUGGACUGUAACUGACGCUGAGGCACGAAAGCGUGGGUAGCAAACAGGAUUAGAUACCCUGGUAGUCCACGCCGUAAACGAUGAGUACUAGGUGUAGGAGGUAUCGACCCCUUCUGUGCCGCAGUAAACAC
rnacentral:rRNA from 1 species